GUGAAUCAUCGAAUUUUUGAACGCACAUUGCACUCUCUUCGAAGAGUAUGCGUGUUUGAGUGUCAGACUAAAAAAAAACGACAUUGUUGUUGUUCCGUGGGGUCAUUCGUCGGAAAUUGGGUCAUCUUAAACUUUUGGGUUUUAAGAGGCUUAAGAUUUUAUUUACGGUUUCACGAACGUUCCUAAGGUUUUAUUUUCUUAUAUGUUUAUGGUAUCGAUCUUUAUAAGACGUGG
rnacentral:misc_RNA from 1 species